AACGUACGCUGGCGGCACGCCUAACACAUGCAAGUCGAACGAAGUAGCAAUACUUAGUGGCAGACGGGUGAGUAACAUGUAGGUAUCUGCCCUUUGGCCUGGAAUAACACGAGGAAACUUGUGCUAAUACCGGAUAAGUCUUUACGGAGAAAGCUUUAUGCACCAUUGGAUGAGCCUGCACUUGAUUAGUUUGUUGGUGGGGUAAUGGCCUACCAAGACUGUGAUCAAUAGCUGAUUUGAGAGGAUGAUCAGCCACAUUGGGACUGAGACACGGCCCAAACUCCUACGGGAGGCAGCAGUGGGGAAUCUUGCACAAUGGAGGAAACUCUGAUGCAGCGAUGCCGCGUGAGUGAAGAAGGCCCUUGGGUUGUAAAGCUCUUUCGUCGGGGAAGAAAAUGACUGUACCCGAAUAAGAAGGUCCGGCUAACUUCGUGCCAGCAGCCGCGGUAAUACGAAGGGACCUAGCGUAGUUCGGAAUUACUGGGCUUAAAGAGUUCGUAGGUGGUUGAAAAAGUUAGUGGUGAAAUCCCAGAGCUUAACUCUGGAACUGCCAUUAAAACUUUUCAGCUAGAGUAUGAUAGAGGAAAGCAGAAUUUCUAGUGUAGAGGUGAAAUUCGUAGAUAUUAGAAAGAAUACCAAUUGCGAAGGCAGCUUUCUGGAUCAUUACUGACACUGAGGAACGAAAGCAUGGGUAGCGAAGAGGAUUAGAUACCCUCGUAGUCCAUGCCGUAAACGAUGUGUGUUAGACGUUGGAAAUUUAUUUUCAGUGUCGCAGCGAAAGCGAUAAACACACCGCCUGGGGAGUACGACCGCAAGGUUAAAACUCAAAUGAAUUGACGGGGACCCGCACAAGUAGUGGAGCAUGUGGCUUAAUUCGAAGAUACGCGCAGAACCUUACCAACACUUGACAUGUUCGUCGCGACUCUAAGAGAUUAGAGUUUUCGGUUCGGCCGGACGAAACACAGGUGCUGCAUGGCUGUCGUCAGCUCGUGUCGUGAGAUGUUGGGUUAAGUCCCGCAACGAGCGCAACCCUCACUUUUAGUUGCCAUCAUUAAGUUGGGCACUCUGAAAGAACUGCCAGUGAUAAGCUGGAGGAAGGUGGGGAUGACGUCAAGUCCUCAUGGCCCUUACGUGUUGGGCUACACACGUGCUACAAUGGUAUCUACAACAGGAAGCAAGACUGCGAGGUCAAGCAAAUCCUUAAAAGAUACCUCAGUUCGGAUUGCACUCUGCAACUCGAGUGCGUGAAGCUGGAAUUACUAGUAAUCGUGGAUCAGCGUGCCACGGUGAAUGCGUUCCCGGGUCUUGUACACACCGCCCGUCACACCAUGGGAGUUGGUUCUACCUUAAGGCAAGGUUUAAAACCCUUGACCACGGUAUAGUCAGCGACUGGGGUG
rnacentral:rRNA from 1 species